ensembl:lncRNA
UGGGGUGUAGUGUCGUUGUGGGGUAUAGUGGGGUGUAGUGUCGUUGUGGGGUGUAGUGUCGUUGUGGGGUAUAGUGUUGUAGUGUCGUUGUGGGGUAUAGUGUCGUUGUGGGGUAUAGUGGGGUAUAGUGUUGUGGGGUAUAGUGUCGUUGUGGGGUACAGUGUCGUUGUGGGGUAUAGUGUUGUAGUGUCGUUGUGGGGUAUAGUGUCGUUGUGGGGUAUAGUGGGGUAUAGUGUUGUGGGGUAUAGUGUCGUUGUGGGGUACAGUGUCGUUGUGGGGUACAGUGUCGCUGUGGGGCACUGUGUCGCUGUGGGGCACUGUGUCGCUGUGGGGCACUGUGUCGCUGUGGGGCACUGUGUCGCUGUGGGGCACUGUGUCGCUGUGGGGCACUGUGUCGUUGUGGGGCACUGUGUCGCUGUGGGGCACUGUGUCGUUGUGGGGCACUGUGUCGUUGUGGGGCACUGUGUCGUUGUGGGGCACUGUGUCGUUGUGGGGCACUGUGUCGUUGUGGGGCACUGUGUCGUUGUGGGGCACUGUGUCGCUGUGGGGCACUGUCGUUGUGGGGCACUGUGUCGUUGUAGGGUAUUGUGGCAUUGUGGGGUAUUUUUGUGUCGUUGUUGGGGUAUUGUGGGGUAUUUUUGUGUCGUUGUGGUGUAUUGAGUCGUUGUGGUGUAUUGGGUUUUUAUGGGGUAUUGGGGUAUUGUGGCAUGGCAUUGUGGGGUAUUGUCGGGUAUUGGGUCUUUAUGGGGGUAUUGUCGUAUUGUGUUGUGUGGAGAUAGAUGAGGAUUUUAUAAUUAAUCAAUUUUAGAAUAAGGCCGUAACAGAAUGUGUAAAAAGUCAAGGGGUCUGAAUAGUUUCUGAAGGCACUGGUGUAUGUUUACAAGAAGUUAUAUUUUAUUUCGUUGUUUAUACUCAACAAAGACGGCUACAUAUUAUGAAAAUACGUUAUCUGUAGUGUUGUGUCGAAAAAUAAAGAGCCAAGUAAAUAAUGACUUUGAUUGGUUCUUUCAUUUGUGAUACACAGUAAGCAAAUGUCAUUAACAAGAGUUACCUCAGGUGUGUUAGAAGAUACACCUUAGUUACCUGGUAUGGAGGAGAGGAUCAUAGAGAUGACACUGCAGGGUUGGGGUGAAUUUCAAUCCCCUAUGAAAGUGAAGUGUCAUUUUAACUUCUGGGUUCUGGUUUUGUAGGCUAAAAAUGGGCUCCAAAUGGGCAUCUUCAAAUGAAUUUGAGAUAUAUAGUACCAGGCAAAGGUUUGGACACCUACUCAUUCAAGGGUUUAGAACACCUACUCAUUCAAGGGUUUUAGAACACCUACUCAUUCAAGGGUUUAGAACACCUACUCAUUCAAGGGUUUUAGAACACCUACUCAUUCAAGGGUUUAGAACACCUGCUCAUUCAAGGGUUUAGAACACCUACUCAUUCAAGGGUUUUAGAACACCUACUCAUUCAAGGGUUUAGAACACCUACUCAUUCAAGGGUUUUAGAACACCUACUCAUUCAAGGGUUUAGAACACCUACUCAUUCAAGGGUUUAGAACACCUACUCAUUCAAGGGUUUAGAACACCUACUCAUUCAAGGGUUUAGAACACCUACUCAUUCAAGGGUUUAGAACACCUACUCAUUCAAGGGUUUAGAACACCUACUCAUUCAAGGGUUUAGAACACCUACUCAUUCAAGGGUUUAGAACACCUACUCAUUCAAGGGUUUUAGAACACCUACUCAUUCAAGGGUUUAGAACACCUACUCAUUCAAGGGUUUAGAACACCUACUCAUUCAAGGGUUUAGAACACCUACUCAUUCAAGGGUUUAGAACACCUACUCAUUCAAGGGUUUAGAACACCUACUCAUUCAAGGGUUUAGAACACCUACUCAUUCAAGGGGUUUUCAUUAUUUUGUACUAUUUUCUACAUUGUAGAAUAAUAGUGACGACAUCAACACUACGAAGUAACACAUGGAAUCGUGUAGUAACCAAGUGUUAAACAAAUCAAUAUUUAAACAUAAAUAUAUUUGAGAUUCUUCAAAGUCGCCACCCUUUGCCUUGAUGACAGCUUUGCACACUCUUGGCAUUCUCUCAACCAGCUUCAUGCGUAAAGGUUUUUUUCCAACAGUCUUGAAGGAGUUCCCACAUAUGCUGAGCACAUGUUGGCUGCUUUUCCUUCACUCUGCGGUCCAACUUAUCCCAAACCAUCUCGAUUGCGUUGAGGUCAGGUGAUUGUGGAGACCAGGUCAUCUGAUGCAGCCCUCUAUCACUCUCCUUACACAGCCUGGGGAUGGGUUUUGGGUCAUUGUCCUGUUGAAAAACAAAUGAGAGCCAGUUUCAUCAUAGCGCUCGAUGGUUUUUGCGACUGCAUUUGAAGAAACUUAUUUACAUUUUACGGAUUGACUGAUCUUCGUGUCUUAAAGUAAUGAUGGACUGUUGUUUCUCUUUGUUAUUUUGAGCUGUUCUUGCCAUAAUGUGGACUUGGUCUUUUACCAAAUAGGGCUCUUCUGUAUACCAACCCUACCUUGUCACAACACAACUGAUCGUCUCAAACACAUUAAGAAGGAAAGAAACUCCACAAAUGAACUUUGAACAAGGCACACCUGUUAAUUGAAAUGCAUUCCAGGUCACCAGUGGUAGAAAAAGUACCAAAUUGUCAUAUGAGUAAAAGUAUAGAUACCCUUAAUAGAAAAUGACUUAAGUGAAAGUCACCCAGUAAAAUACUACUUGAGUAAAAGUCUAAAAGUAUUUGAUUUGAAAUAUACUUAACUGUCAAAAGUAGAAGUAUUACUACUUACAACUUCCUUGUAUUAAGAAAACCAGAUGGGACAAUUAUCUUUUGUUUUAUUUACAGAUAGCCAGGGGCUCCAACACUCGGACAUCAUUUACAAACCAAGCAUUUGUGUUUAGUUGUUCCGCCAGAUCAGAGACAGUCGGGAUGACCAGGGAUGUUCUCUUGAUAAGUGUGUGAAUUAGACCAUUUUCCUGUCCUGCUAAGCAUUCCAAAUGUAACUAGUACUUUAACUGAAGUACUUUACACCACUGCAGGUGACUACCUCAUGAAGCUGGUUGAGAGAAUGCCAAGAGUGUGCAAAACUGUCAUCAAGGCUACUUUGAAAAAUUUUAAAUAUAUUUUGAUUUGUUUAACACUUUUUAUGGUUACUACAUGACUCCAUAUGUGUUAUUUCAUAGUUGUGAUGUUUUCACUAUCAUUCUA